rnacentral:misc_RNA from 1 species
GACAAAAUUCCUGACAGGCUCAGUAGCAACCAAUAUGGCUUCGAUUUCUUCUGUGACUUUUGAAAAUUUUCCAGAAGUUGUGACAUAGCUUUAAUACGACAUACAGAAAACGAUGCAUUGCAUGGAUCAGACCCAAAUGUCUCUCAAGCAUGUAUAAAACUGAUUAUCAGGGUGGACCCUUUGUUGAAAUUUUCUCUGCACAAGGUAAAGACCCCACUCAUGGUUGGAAAGUUGGCAGUGGGAUCAAAAGGGAAUAUGAGAAAGAUGUCAAGGGGUUUCUGUAUUGUUUGGAGGGCUCCACCACAACAACUAAGUUGCAACUACCAAAAGCAAAUCUUGUGCAGAGAUACCUGGUCUUUCAACUGUUUGUACCACGGGGGAAAGAGUUUUCAUUUGAAAUAGGAAUUAUCGAUCAAAGGAAGAACAAGAGAAGAUUGAUGUUUUCCUCGGCACAAAAAGACACCCAUGUUACUGAGCUCCAUGCUCGUAUUCCUCUCACCAUUCUCAGGAGGCACAUGUGGUUGAACCUCUGUGUUGACCUGGUGUCUAUAGUGGGAGAAACAUGGCGAGGCCAGACCUACCGCUCUAUCGAGUCUGUCUGUGUGUCAGCCAACUGUAAACUCCGCCGGAUAUUUACACUGAAGAGUCAGCCACCAGACACCGCGGAGGAUGAAGAGAUAUAUGGGUGUGAGCCAUGUAACACAGGAGAACUAGAGGCCAUUCCCAAGCAGUGCCAGUUUGCAACGGAUGUCCAGUUUGUGACUCAGAUCUUUAACAUGGCGAAGAUCAAGCAUGCAGAGAGAUUAAAAGGAGGAGAUAAUUCUGUUAGAUUAUCCACAGAAAUAGAUCUGAAUGCCAGUGGAAGGAGAACCUCUCUCAAUGACUCUGGGUACCACAUUGCAUUUGGAACUAAAGUCCCAGGGGCCCCAACCUCUGGCAAAAACAAGGGAAACAUCACCAAUAGAAGUAACAGAAGUGCAACGUCAAGAGCUGAUGAUCCUGGAGAGUCUACGCAUCAAGAUCUGUCGGAGAGCUUGUCACGGGAGGGUGGAGUGUUUGAUACCGGAGUGGGAGGGGACAGACCCCAAGAAACAGUCCAUAGAGCGGUCACCCACAGACGCCAGUUCUCUGACCCCGCCACCCAGCAGGACUUGGAGAUGGCCAGUCGCAUAGAUUAUGUCCAGCCUGACCUACUGGUGCAGCCCCACCCUCCCAGGGAACCUUCCACUGACCGGCUGAGGAGGAGAAUCCGGGUCAAAAACGGGUCAAGUAGUGCCAAUAAAGACAGAGUGUCCAGUGCUGGAUCUUUGAAAGAUGAAGGUAUAAGCUCAGCAAGUGGGACCACUUCAUCUAGAGCCCCCAACAGUUCCAACUCUGGGGGGACAGAGGAUGGGCGGCGACAGAGAUUGGUGUCCGACACAGAGCUCAUCAGAAAACACGGCAACAAAGGGAAAUCCCCGGGGAAGGGCAGUGAAGAGGACAGCUCUCCCUCCUUUGCAUUUGAGUCUGGAAUCUCCCUGUCACAGUCAUAUAAGAAAGAGUACAAUCGCGGUGACUAUGAAGGGGACGGAGCUAUAUUGGAUGACUCCUUGGCCGGCAUCAUCAGGGCCCUAAACUCUAGCCCACGUGGACAGUAUGCUGAGGAGGAGCAGUAUAUAGAGGAGUACCAGGAGAGUGAGGAAGAGUCAGAAUUAGAUGAUGAACCAAUCUACAUGUUUGAGUCCAAACCAAAGUCUGCUCCACGGCGCCAUGUUUCUCCAUUCCAGCCAGAGACAGAGGAGGAUUCCGGGCUACAUAGUCUAUCCACAAGUACAUCACAAGCCAAGCAACAGAGAGGACCAAGACUGGAGCAUGACUUUGUUCACAGCAGUGAUUCAAGCUUGGAGGAUGAAGAGACCCAGAGACGUAAAAAAGUGCCUGGUUCUCGCCCCACCAGUGGCUCUUCUAGCCGCCCCCACAGUGGUUCUACCACCAGUCGACCGCAGAGCGGUGCUACAAGCAGACCUACAAGUGGUAGCACCAGCCGUCCAACCAGUGGUACGACCAGUAGACCACAAAGUGGUUCCAGUAGACACCACAAUGUUCCGAGGCCUACAAGUGCAAAGUCUCAGGGCAUUUCUAAUGUAAAAAAUAGUGCUUCAAGUACUGGUAGUCCCAAGUGUAGUAAAAAUGUUCCCAAACCAUCUAGGAAGGAUAAAAUAGACCUUUCAGCCAAUCACACGCCAAAAUCUGCGGACAGUCCCGAGCUUCACAUCAGCUCACAGCUUCCUACUCAUCGCUCGGACUUGAUGAACGGGAAUGUGACUAAUCGAAGUGUUUCAAGGAUGAGUCGGAAAUCUGUGAAGGAGAUUCCAAAGGACGAUGUCCGUCUGUCUGUGAUAAAGUCUUCAGAGAAGCCCUACGAUUUUACCAAAUACAGUGCAAUCAAUUUUAAAAUGGAGGACAUUACCGAUUCUUUUGAAAACGGAAUGUUUGCCAGCAUGAAGCGGCAGACAGAGGAAGAUUACGAGGAUAUUUCCGCCAGCGAGUCUCCCCGUAAACUAGUUCCCCCAGCCCAAGCAGGUGCUAUCAGCAAUAAAACGCCCCCUAACCCCUCCCCCAGGGAAGUGGACAAUAACCACAGAAACCUGUACGAUUUCUCUCCGACCUUGACCCUCACCAGUGAUGAAGACAGCACCUGGCAAGCACCUCCCACAGAAAUGAAGUUAGCAGUGAGCACUGAUACCCUCACAUCUUCCAAUCCAAGGGACUGGAGCGGUGCUUUUAGUCCACCCAUUGUGUUCCCUGGAGGUCAUCCGUCGGAUUCCAUCGAGGAUUUAUCCAGCUGCUCCUUAUCUCCACGCAAAAACAUUCCACCACAAGAUUCCAAGUCCCAGGAGCAGAUAUACGCCUCACUCAGACAGGAUGACGGGAGGGAUGAGGACGAUCUAGACCUAUUGUACGACUCCUGUCUGAACUGUUACUACGAUCCCAAAACCCAGAAGUAUUACGAACUCAUUUGAAGCCUGUAAAAAUAAUCCCAUCAUAAACUAGGAUGAAUUCUUACAUAAGACCAACAUGAAUGAAAUAUUAGCCAGUUUUGUCGACUAAAUUGAUGAUUGGGGGGGGGGGGGGGGGGGUAAUGGGUGAGGGGAAAAUUUUCUGGGAUUAUUUGUCCCCUACCCAAGGUUCUCUGUGGAUAUCAGUUAUUUCAAGAUGUACAAUAUGGAAUUGGCCCAGUGGUACAGAUAUCAAAAAUGUUUGAAGUCUCGUUUAUUUCAGUAAAAAUCAUUAUGUUAUCAAAGGACAUUUUUCCUGGUGUAAGAUGUGACUAAUUUUUUGAGAUCUUUCAUUUUUCAUGAAUCAUGAUUGAAAUGAGUGGUUUCUUUAUGUUAAUCGGUAUGGUACUUUUUUGGUUUAAAAAGAAAUUUUGAUUUGUGAACAUUAAUUAAUAGAUUGAUAGUUCUGCUGCCCACUCAGAUUUCUACAGUAUUAGCAAGAGCCAGUGUCAUAUCUCAGCAUUAUUUGUUUGCAGCAGGACUAUUAGUAAAAGACUAAACAAUGAAGGGACUUAAGCUUAAUUUAUUGCCCUGCAGUGGUGCCUAAAUCCAUCACUAUAGUGGGAACCGUGUGUGUUUUGAGGUGUAGGUUCCAUGGUUGGUCUUGGGGUAGGGAGAGCGGGGUGACUUGCAUUUAAUAUCUACACUGUAUGUUGUAUAUGAUGCUUUUUUUAUGGUAAUAUUAAAAAAGAAAGCAAUUCUGUUUGAAAUGCUCUUACUUGCUGCAUACCAUGCACUGAAAUGCAAUCUACACCUUAGUCAUUCUAUAUGUAUAACUCAGUUUUGUUUAUGAUUAAGUCAUAUACAUGUACUUAAGUAGGAGUUAUUCCUCCUGUCAAAGGGCAUUUGUAAUAUAACAUUGGGUUGUAAGCGUAAUAGGGUUGUAAAGUUGUUGAUGAAGCAGGAGUAUUGUGUUUUCGUUAUCUUGACUGUCUAGUUCUAGCGAACCACCAAGUGGGACACUUUCUUUUGGACAGUCACUGUACACAUGUAUUUUACAUGGAGGUAUUCUUAUCUGUGAUCAACUUCGUUGAAUUUAACCAUGAUAUAUGUUUAACUGAAGUGUUGUUGUAUGGAUUGAUUCGUUACUGGUUACACGCGCCAAUAUGUUACCACAAUCUUAAAAUAAACAUUUUAAUC